AACGAACGCUGGCGGCAUGCCUAACACAUGCAAGUCGAACGAGACCUUCGGGUCUAGUGGCGCACGGGUGCGUAACGCGUGGGAAUCUGCCCUUGGGUUCGGAAUAACUCCCCGAAAGGGGUGCUAAUACCGGAUGAUGUCGCAAGACCAAAGAUUUAUCGCCCAAGGAUGAGCCCGCGUAGGAUUAGGUAGUUGGUGAGGUAAAGGCUCACCAAGCCGACGAUCCUUAGCUGGUCUGAGAGGAUGAUCAGCCACACUGGGACUGAGACACGGCCCAGACUCCUACGGGAGGCAGCAGUGGGGAAUAUUGGACAAUGGGCGAAAGCCUGAUCCAGCAAUGCCGCGUGAGUGAUGAAGGCCUUAGGGUUGUAAAGCUCUUUUACCCGGGAUGAUAAUGACAGUACCGGGAGAAUAAGCCCCGGCUAACUCCGUGCCAGCCGCCGCCGUAACAC
rnacentral:rRNA from 1 species